ensembl:lncRNA
CCCCAGAUGGCAGGAUGACCAGUAGAUGUUAAAUAUAUUAAAAUAUAAAUUAGAUACACAAUAAGUAUACAUGACUAAACUGUUAUUUUGCUGUACAAAAAGAAUAAAACUCUGAAAUAUUGUACAAUUAGCUUGUGAAGGAAAUCAAAAAUGCAGGUGGGCAAAAAUAUAGGGAUUGGGAAUUCAAUGUAAUGGUUUUUAGUCAUCUCCCAGAGUUCUUUCUUUCUCUGGGCGUAGCUGGUUCAGUUCAUUACUGCUCCAUUGGAAAUGAUUUGGUUGAUCUCAUUGCUGAGGAUGGCCAGGACCAUCAGAACUGGUCAUCAUAUAGUAUUGUUAUUGAAGUAUAUAAUGAUCUCCUGGUCCUGCUCAUUUCACUCAGCAUCAGUUCGUGUAAGUCUCUCCAGGCCUUUCUGAAAUCAUCCUGUUGGUCAUUUCUUACAGAACAAUAAUAUUCCAUAAUAUUCAUAUACCACAAUUUAUUCAGCCAUUCUCCAACUGAUGGGCAUCCACUCAGUUUCCAGUUUCUAGCCACUACAAAGAGGGCUGUCACAAACAUUCGUGCACAUACAGGUCCCUUUCCCUUCUUUAUGAUCUUUUGGGGAUAUAUGCUUUUUUUUUUUUAGACCAACAGAGAAAUGAUUUCUAUAUGUGUAUAAAGUAAUUUGGAAAUUUGAGAUAUGAUAGUAAAAGUAAUUUUAAAGGAGCUCUAAUUAAAGCCAACUGAAGCUAUAUGUAAAUUGUAAUAUAUUUGUACUGAUAGUGUUAACAGAAGAGUUUUGGAACUUUAGGAAAACAGAAAAGCAGUUUGCUACUAAUUUAAAAACUCUGACUACUCAAAUAACCUGCUUUUGAACUGUGUCACAAAAAAAGAAUGAUUUUCGUGAAUUGGAAAAUAACCAAAUUGCAAUUCAGUUUGUCUAGGACAUUUAAUUAGAAUCUAGGGAAUCACAUUAACUAAAGUUGAGUCAAUUUUAAAAUCUGUUCCAUCUCAAUUUUAAGAAUUGUCUUGGGGGCAGCUAGAUGGUACAGUGGAUAGAGUACCAGCCCUGAAGUCAGGAGGACCUGAGUUCAAAUUUGACUUCAGUUAACACUUCCUAGUUGUGUGACCCCAGGUGAGUCACUUGAUCCCAAUUGCCUCAGCCAAAAAAUAAAAAAAAAGUCUCGUUUUCUCCCUAAUACAAAAGGGAAACUUCUUUAAGGGAAUAGAAACUACAGCUAAGAAAUUAGGACAAUUCUAAAAUUGUUAACUAAGUUAUUUGGAGUUAUUGCCAUCAUGUUUAAUCUAAAAUUGGUAAUUACUGUGUGUGUGUGUGUGUGUGUGUGUGUGUGUGUGUGUGGAACAAGCGGGAUGAGGUGAAAGCCUUAUCAAUUCACCUCCAAGUAUGAGGUGUUCAAUACCUUUUCCCCCUUCUCAGAGUGUGGGGGUGUAUCGAACAGAACAGCCCAUGAAAACUCAAGAAUAGUUGGGGUGGGCAAAAGAUAGCUCAGCCCCUUCUCUGGGAUCUACUUCAACUCCCCUUAAUUUGUAAGCUUGCCAGUUCUCUUGAAACCAUCAGAGUAAGCAAGGUUUCAGCCUUCAGAAAUGAGCCUGUUUAGGAUUUAUAGUUUAUUAAGAAUUUUUGUCUGUAUAAUGACUGAUCCUUUGCACCAGGAUAAGUUUAAACAUAUAAAACAUGUUAAAUAAAAAUCUCAUGUGUGUAAGUGCUGGCAAACUUUUAAAAUAAUGUAUCUAGCCCUAAGCUGCAAUUAGUAGAAUUUGCUAUUAGAGAUAAAAUCUCUUGGGAUUGUAAAUGAUAUUCUUCUGAGUUUUGAAUUUGCCUGAUCAUUAAGUCAGUAAGCCAUCUAUUGAGAAAAAUGCUAUAAGUCACUCAUAAGUUACUUCCUGAACUAUUAUCAUAAGUGAAGGUUUUAUCUGGGCAAGAGUUGGGAGGAUAACCUUAGCUUCUGACUCAGUUUCCCAGUUGUUUUUUUGUUUACCAUUUAAUUAUUUCUGAGUCUGGCUAUGAAAUGGAAUUAUUACUGCAUUAUCAAGCUAUCAAACAGAUCUAAGGAUUCUUUAUCCUGUCAUGUAGGUGCUUCUCUCAAGCUGAAGACUGAAGGACCUGUUUUGACACUAUUAUAAUCAUGUCCCUGCUUUUUCCUCUUUUAUCAGAUUUCUAAUAAAAAGAGCAAAUGGUCAGGGGAAAUCAUGAGCCCAAUACAAGUAUCCCAAAGGACACAAUGGUUUUCUAUCUUAGAUCUUAAAGCUUUCCUUUGCAAAUCAUUGCAUAAAGACUUGAAAGGGCAAACCCAGGGAAACAUAACCCCUCACUAAUUAACAUGAGCAGCCAUGUUCAUAACAUGGAGGUAGCUCAGGGCUUCAGUGACAGCCCCACAUAUUUGGAUACAGUAUGCAGAUGAUAUCUUGAUCCCCACACACCCGAGAGGCUUUUCUGGCUUCAACCAAUCAAACUCCUAAUUUCCAACCUCUCUUCCCCCAGGCAAGACUAUGUUUCUUUGUCUAAAGCCUAUCAGUUUGUUAAUCACUCUGAACUGUUGGAUACUUUCCUGGACAUGGCUGGAUUUUAUACCUAAUGUUAGUUAGUUAUUGCCAAACCCCUCUAUAAUUCUAUUCAAGGCCCUGACACAAUUCCUCUCCAGUGGGGGCCCUGAUCAGGUCAAGGUUUUUAAGACCCUAAAAGCUAAACUAAUCUCUUGCCCUGGUCUUAGCCUUACCUAAGGCCUUUUACACUGCACAUUAAUGGAAGGUGGGGCCAGGCCGUAAGGAUCUCGACUUUAUUAGGUUCUCUGGAACCCUAUCCCAGACUUCUUGCUUACUUCUCAAAGAAACUUGGUGUCUUUGGGGAAACCUUCCUGCCUUAGAGCUUGCUGCCACAGCCAUUCUAAUUGAGGAAGCUUACAAGCUCACCCUUGGAAUGAGCCAUUGGAGGUUCUAACACCCCAACUGGGUUCAGAGUAUUUUGGAAGCCAAAGGUUAUCAGUGACUUGCCAGUGGGAGGCUUACCAGAUACCAGGCUCUCCUGGUAGAUACCCCUGACCUCACUCUGGAUAUGUCACAACCUUAACCCUAUUAUUCUGCUCUCUGACAACACUCAGUCUGGUGACUAUAAUUGUGAAGAAGCUUUAGAUUCUGUUUACUCCAAUCAACCUGACUUGAGGGACAUUCCUCUUGUCAACCCAGAUAGUUUAGAGAUGGGUCCAGUUUUCUUGAAAAUGGGGAAAGGAAGGCAGGUUAUUCUGUGGUGACCCUCAAUAACCCCUUAGAGGCUAAACCACCCCUCCUUUUCCCUCCUUCCCCCAGACUUCUGUCCAGAAAGCUGAAUUCAUUGCCCUUACUAGGUCUUUGGAACUGGGGUAAGGAAUGAGGGCGAACCUCUAUACAUACUCCAAAUAUGCUUUUCAUAUUUUGUAGCUUAUGGAGCUAUAUGGAAAGAAAGGGGACUUUUGACAGCAAAAAUUCUAAAUAUGCAAGGGAAAUUCUAGAACUAUUGUAAGCUGUCCAUACACCUAGAGAGGUUUCUGUUAUGUUUUGUAAAAGAUACUAGAAGGGAGAUUCACUUCAGGCCAAGGGGAAUAGGCUUGCAGAUUCAGCUGCCAUUGCUGCUGCCCAUUUGCCCCUAACCAUGUCAGCUUUAAUUCCCCAGCUCCCUGACUCUUAAACCCUUUUAUGUGGCUUUCAGGAACAGGCCCUUUGCUAAAGAAAGGGGGUACAUGUUUUUUUCCUCCUCUGGGUGGUUUCAAAUGUGCCACAGUUCCCUUUUGAUGUCCUGACCUAGUUUAUUGUCCUAUCUGCCUCAGGUUAUAACCUUUCCUUCUUAAUGUUUGAUUUAGUUAUUCUGCUUCAGGUUAUAACCAUUCCCUCUUAAUAUUUGAUAGGAUAAAGGUCUUAUAUUUUAGACUUUAGGCUAUACUUAUUCCCUUUUAAUGUUUAAUAGGAUAAAGGUCUUUAUCCAUUUUAGACAUCAUUAGAAUAUCAGGAGCCUCUACAGUACCUCCCAUUAUGUCAUCCUAGGUGCUUCCCCCCAUUAGGUUAUUCCCACCAUUAUGUCAUUGUUCUGUUACCCUAUAAAGGAACCUUGUUAUCUGAUAUUCACUGCUGGAUUCUUUGAGAUGAUAGUCCCUUCCAGCCCUGGGACCAACCAUGGAUACAUUUGGUCCCAGUAUAUCUCUCUAUUUAAUAAAUUAUUAAAUUGGUCUCUAAUCUCUGUUUUGCUCAGUUUCUUGAGCAUUACACAAACACCCUCAGACCAGCUUCUAAUCCCAAGGGGAAGUCAGUAGAAACUUCUUUUUGGCCUAUACCCACCACCCACUACCCACUUGAAAAAGAAUGCUCUCUAAUCCCUGUGAAACCUAUCUUCCACAAGGUAGGAGAAACAAACCGAUCAGUCAGGUCUGCCCAGUUUGUGUCCAAAUAAAUUCUGAAAAGGCUGUUAAACCUCCCUCUCCUGAAGCCUAUCUGAAGGAAGGAUACAUAUUUGGGGAGGCUGGUAGAUAAUUUUUACCUCCACUUUCAGGGGACUUCAAAUUGCUUUUGGUUUUUGUUGACAUCUUUAUUAGUUGGGUAAAAGCCUUCCUUUGCAAGACUGAGAAGUCUCAGGAGUUAUCAAAGUGUUUGCUAAAUCUCCAUUUGGCCUGCCUAGUUCUUUUGCAGAAUGACAAUGGCUCAGCCUUAACUUCUUAAAUAACUUAAAAGAUGGCUGCAGCACUUGAGAUGACUUGUCUCCACCCUGCCUGGCAGCCUCAAUCUUCUGGGAAGGUGGAGAAAAUGAAUCACAUGCUCAAGCAGGUCUUUACUAAACUAUUUCUGGAAGCUCCAGAGAAUUGGAUGAAGAAUCUUCCAUUAGGAAGGACCAUAAAAGGUCAUUCUGACUACUACAAUUUGAAGGCUUUCCCAGCUGGAUUCAUAUUUCUAGAAUUAAAAAUGCUACUCUUAUUAUUACUUCUUUCUCAGACAUUCCUGAAUAUUCCUGUGAACCCAUAGAGGAUUUGAAACUACUCUUCUGCAGGAAUACUGGAAACAAUGGAAACAUACUGGAUAGAAAAGGGUGAAAUUGUCUACAUCCUUCUCUCUCUCAGAGAGAGCUUUCUUUCUUUCUUGUUAUUUUCCACUUUUCCCACAUUUUUAAUAACAUGCCGAGGUUGAGAGCUUUGCUCCUAGUAUUUUUUUUCCAGCUCUCUCGGUAUCACUCUGUGGGCCCCUUGCCAAUGGGGACACAACUAGUGGGGCUAGGGAACUCUAAGUCCAAAGGCUGCCUGGGUUUGCAUGCUUGAACCUUCCCUUUGAACAAUUCUCUGCUGCGCUGGCAGUAACAUUUGGCCAGGAAUCUUGAAUCUAAAAUAGCCAGUGCUUGAGCAGACCCAAACCCCAAGCUGAAGACCAUGGAUUCUAUACCCAUCUUAGUUCAUGUUUCCCCUUCUGUGGUGUACAAAGCCUCUACUCUAUGGACUAAAUUAAAAAAGAGAUACUUCCUCAAUCUGAUAAAGAUGUAGUUUGUCUGGUACCAAUAUGGUAGGAGAUCAUAGAAUGGCUUCACUCAGAAGUAGGUCCAUUUCUUCUCCCAUGUGGGUGUUUCCAUCUUAGAUGAUUUGGGUAUGUAUUUUUAUGUUCUCUCCUGUUUGAGAUAUUUACCAUCCCAGAAAAAAAGUGCUUUUUGAACACAAUAUUUGAUCUCUAUUCAGAACAGUUCUUCUGGAGUCCCUGGGGAAACAUAAGCAAUAUAUUUUCAUUUCUGUCCUCAAGUGUAUAUAGAAAAGAGUAUGAAAAAAAUCAAAGUUGCAUCAUUUUGUACAAUCUCACAUGUAUAGGUGAAAAUCACAAUUAUCAAGUAUAAAAUUUUGCCAAUUUAAAAAAAAAAGGAAAAAGAGACCAUUACACAAAGUUAACGAAAUAUUUCUACUUUUUUGGUCUUAACAGUGCCUUACAGGGCCUUUGUGAAAAGAACAAAACCAAGAAAUCUGACUUCUCAUCUUGGAAAAAAUUUAAAAAACAAAAAAAACAACUUGUCCACAUUGCUUUCUAAACUACAUGGAAUUCUCUCCACAGAGAUUUGGAACUUGGAAUCAACUAGGAUGAGAAAACUAUCAUGGGUGGAAAAUUUUUUGAUUCCUUCAGUGCAUAAGGUCAUCCAAAUGAGGUCUGAACAAAAGUAAUCCUUUUCUGCUUAGCACAAACAAAGUCUAUGGAUCAUUGUAUCACAAAUUACAAGUACAGGUUCAGGGAAAUUUUCUCUGGGUUCUCAUUCCAAAAGCACCCAAAAUUCCCCCAUGGAUCCUCAUCACUGCAAGAGUAAACCAAAUAGAAUUGCAAACUCACUCAAUGAGACAAAACAAAUAGGCUCAACUAGAGAUGUAGCAAAGAAAGUAACUAUUCGUGGAUUUUUAGCACAGGCAUUCUUACCCCAGGAAGUUUCAGGAUAUUUUACUAUCACAAAAAAGCAGAGUCCAGGUCUGUUUAAAUGCAAAAAAAACAAUGCAAAGAUUUAUACUAGGUGGUAACAAUCUAUUGAUUCCAUAUUUCUCUAGGGUUUCUCCAGUUUUUUGAGGAUCUUGAAGCAUAGAGUAUCUAAACUUUAAUGUCUCAGACAGAGAAUUGCACAAAAGUAUGCAAGUACCAAACUCAAAGGAACAAAUUUAAUUUCAGACACUGAAUACCAUGGUUCCCAAUGCCUGAGGGCUGUCUGUUGCAUUUCACCCCUUUCCAUGGUUUCCCAGUACUCUUAAGGAGCUUUGUAGUGUCUAGUCUCCUUGCCAUUGGCUCAAGCCCCUAUUGACUAUGUUCCUGUACCCUAGUUCUAUUUAACCACUUAAAA